AACGAACGCUGGCGGCAUGCCUAACACAUGCAAGUCGAACGAGACCUUCGGGUCUAGUGGCGCACGGGUGCGUAACGUGUGGGAACCUGCCCUUAGGUUCGGAAUAACUCCCCGAAAGGGGUGCUAAUACCGGAUAAUGUCUUCGGACCAAAGAUUUAUCGCCUUUGGAUGGGCCCGCGUUGGAUUAGCUAGUUGGUAGGGUAAAAGCCUACCAAGGCGACGAUCCAUAGCUGGUCUGAGAGGAUGAUCAGCCACACUGGGACUGAGACACGGCCCAGACUCCUACGGGAGGCAGCAGUGGGGAAUAUUGGACAAUGGGCGAAAGCCUGAUCCAGCAAUGCCGCGUGAGUGAUGAAGGCCUUAGGGUUGUAAAGCUCUUUUACCCGGGAUGAUAAUGACAGUACCGGGAGAAUAAGCUCCGGCUAACUCCGUG
rnacentral:rRNA from 1 species